rnacentral:snRNA from 1 species
GGAUUAGUUAGUAGACCCUUUGGGGACAUUGGAUAAAAGAGAAGAUUAGCAUGAUCCAUGCGCAAGGAUUACAAGCACAAGUCAAGAUUAGAUUCACUUUAGC